CGUUAAUCAAAACAAACUUCUAAUUACUAAAACGGGUAUGUAUAUGCAAAAGACUGAACUUCUACUACAUGACCCCCCCUGACUUGAAAGCUGGAUCCGCGGCUGAUGAGGCAAGAGGAUAAAAAUCUUCUCGACGACACCCAGCAUCCCGAGACACUGGAUAGUGUUGGAUUCUUACCAAGUAAAAAACCCUCAUUUUGGAACUGCAAGUUUUCAGGAGUUUCUCCUUUGAAACUUGUGGUUCCGUUUAAGAAUGCGUCAGAUCCGGUAUCCGUAUGCCAUCACAUCACAUUCUCUCCACACUAGCUGCUUGCUAGAUGAGCACAGAACAUACCCCAGGGGGGAUAUUUUGUGCUAGAUGAGCAUCUUAACUAACUAGACAAGUAACUUGUCUCU
rnacentral:lncRNA from 1 species